GCCUGACCUUGGGCAGUUAGGAAUAAGUGGCUCCUUGAUAACAACAAGAGGGCAGAAAGGACAGGACCGUCUGAGACACCCACUUCCUGGGACAAUCCGCCGGGGACCAUAUCCAGGUUCAGCAGCUGCACGGUUACUCCCCCUCAAAAUGUCCCGCCACUGUAACCCAUAGAAGCCCUCCCCUCGGAUGCCCUAGUGGCUUUCUCCUUAAGGAGCCCCUCCGGGGUGGCGAGAGUCUCUUUGUUUCGUCCUCGCCCAAAUAAACCUGGUGCCUGUGCUGCUCUUAACCUUGCUGAUCGGUUCCAUUUUUGAGAACACAAUCCCGGCUUUAAAAAACGGUUACAGCUUUGAAGGCUCCUUGGAGAUCUCCACGUCUUCUAACGCCUCUCCCUUCGGGAAAUGAGUGGAGAAGCCCAGGACUGAUCUCCCGGAAAUCUUCCCAGGAGUGAUCCGGGAGACUUCCAAGGGGUCCUACUCACAGGUUUCCCAAACUACAGUGGAAGGUGGCUACUUGCUUCCGAUUCUGACACUCUGGCGUGGCUCAUCUCCCCGGUCCGCAUUUUCUACCUCUCAUCUUCAAACUCCUCUUGUGGAGCUUAUAGCCCUCACCCGGGCCCUGGAGCUUUAGUGAAGCUCCUCUCUUUUGGGAACCCCCUUACAACCCAUGAAGCCCCAAUACAGCGACAAAGAAACCAUGAGAGCCCUGUCCUGGCGAUUUACCCUCUUGCCCUCAGGAUGGCUACAGGAUGAACAGGGGAAGAUCUUGUUGCCCACCGCUACCAGAUGAAAACUGCUUAAAACCUUCCAUCAAUCAUCCACCUGGAAAGAGACGGGACACUUCAGUGGAUGUAGGGCACUACAAGAAAAUGAAAAUACCACACAGCGCAUACAAGGAGGACCUCUAUUUGAGCCCGGGCAUCCAGUUCUAGUUCAAUCUCUUCCUCCUCCUUCCCCCUCUCUUCGGCCUUCCUGAGAGGACCCCUGCCCGGUGAUCCUCUCCACCCCUUCUGCUGGUAAGAUUUCAGGAGGAGAUGCUUGGAUUCACCACACUCGUCUAAAGCCCUGGCGAGCUCCAGAUGAUCCUCAGAAGGAAGGAGACAAGUACAUUUGUGAGCCUAUUGAAGACCUACAAUUCCUCUUCAAGAAGUGCAGAGAAGUGCUCCGCCCCUUAAACGUCUCAUAACAACACCAUGACCCCUAGGGCUUUAAUAUUUCUAUAUCUCACACAAUUAUGGUGCCAGCCGCCACGGGGAAUCCUCGAGUGGGUUCCAUUAAUUGCCGCUGCCUUUAUCUUAACUGACUGCUGGAUCUGUGGGAAGGAUUCUUUAGGCACAGUCGUCCCAGCCCCCACGUCUGUGUGGCUCUGAGCCAAUGACACUGUCACCCCCUUCAUCUCCUCUACCAGUCCUUUCCCCGGCGCUCACAUUGAAUGGCUGUUCUUCAAAGCCUGGAAGGAGGAUACGGAAACUAAAAGGAACAACACCCCUUGGUCCAGUGGUACCCUCGCCCGGUUGGACCGACUCCACCUCAACGCCAGUGCCGUCUUCCCAAUCUGCUUUGAAAAUUCAACGUCCAUCCCACACACAGGUCUCUUCACAGGUAAUCUCCCCACAUCUCAAUGUAAUCUCACAUCCCAAGUCACUAGAGCCUCUGCGGAAGGAGACCUGGAACUCUUCCCGCUGUAGUUCUCUCAGUGCAUGUAAGAACACUGAUAAAUAUCACCUUUUCCUUGACGUUUCCUCCGAGCCCAGUAUCCCCCAAAGCGCACAACCUCCUGCACCGCAGGCAAUGUCCGUGUAGCCAGAAGGUCUACCGUCUCUUAUAAUUCAUCAAAUUUAAGUCUGGCGUCCACACCACUCCUCUCGUCCCAAGAAUUCUUCCUCAAAACAUAUCCCUCCAGCUUCCUUGCAUCCACCAUACGGGAAAGACUCAGACGCCUCCCUAAUUUGGAGCAGAUUGUCAGGGGGCCCCCCUGCAACAAGUAGACCCCAAGCCCUCUUUACUUACGACUUCCACGUAAACCUCCGGGUGGAAGAGGGUUUGUUCUGUGGAACCAGGGAGUACAUCACGCUGCCGCCCUUAUGGAGAGGGCGGUGCUUCCUCGCUUUCAUAGCUCCCCCAGCUGAUGAUGCGCCUGGUUCCAGCAGCAUGCUGCAGGUUCUAAAUGAUCCUUGACCAGGGUCCGAAGGGUGGCUAUGGCUCCCCUUCUGGUCUCUUUGUUCACUGGAUUGUCGGGAGCGUCUGGAACAGCCCUAGGAGGCACCUCCGUAGACCUCUCAGCACAACUGACCAAGACAUUGAGGGAGACCAUCAAGGGGAUACAAACACCCGCAGAGCAGGUGAACUCCUUGGCAGGAGUCACACUUCAAAACCGACAGGCCUAUGGGGCACCUGGGUGGCUCAGUCGGUUAAGCAUCUGACUUCGGCUCAGGUCGUGAUCUCACGGUUCAUGGGUUUGAGCCCCACCUCAGGCUCUGUGCUGACAGCUCAGAGCCUGGAGCCU